GACGAACUGUGCGAACGUUAUUCGGAAUCACUGGGCUUACAGGGUGCGUAGGCGGCCUGUUAAGUAGGGUGUGAAAUCCCCCGGCCCAACCGGGGAAUGGCGCUCUAAACUAGCAGGCUUGAGUGAGCUAGGGGUGCAUGGAACUUCCAGUGGAGCGGUGAAAUGUGUUGAUAUUGGAAGGAACACCGGAGGCGAAAGCGAUGCACUGGGGCUUAACUGACGCUGAGGCACGAAAGCCAGGGUAGCGAACGGG
rnacentral:rRNA from 1 species